GCUAGUAUGGCUCAGUUGGUAGAGCAGCUCAUUCGUAAUGAGCAGGUCGUCGGUUCGAGUCCGACUACUAGCUCCA
rnacentral:tRNA from 7 species